GUCUUAGUGAUAAAUAAGGAAGACUCAGCAAAUGAAGACUGGUAUAAAAUUGAAAAGAUAAUGACCUCGGGAGAUAGGGACUACAAAACUCUUCUAUGGGCAAUGUAUAAAGAAACAAAUCAUUGCAUUAAAAAUUCUAAAUCGUUGAUAGUCCAACCAAUUUUUCCCACCUGGUCUCUAUUAAAAAAAAAAUUGGUUUAAAAAAGAAGAUA